GCAUUGGUGGUUCAGUGGUAGAAUUCUCACCUGCCAUUGGGAGGAGGCCGGUUCGAUUCCGGCCAAUGCA